rnacentral:rRNA from 1 species
AUUGAACGCUGGCGGCAGGCCUAACACAUGCAAGUCGAACGAGUGGCGGACGGGUGAGUGAUGUCUGGGAGACUGUCCGUUGGAGGGGGGUAACUACUGGAAACGGUAUCUAAUACCGCGUACCCUCUGAUGUGCCCAGAUGGGAUUAGCUUGUAGGGGAGGUAACGGCGCACCUAGGCGACGAUCCCUAGCUGGUCUGAGAGGAUGACCAGCCACACUGGAACUGAGACACGGUCCAGACUCCUACGGGAGGCAGCAGUGGGGAAUAUUGCACAAUGGGCGCAAGCCUGAUGCAGCCAUGCCGCGUGUAUGAAGAAGGCCUUCGGGUUGUAAAGUACUUUCAGCGGGGAGGCGUUACCCGCAGAAGAAGCACCGGCUAACUCCGUGCCAGCCGCCGCGGUAAUAC